AGCAGUGCUGUAGCCAGCAGGGGUGGACACUGGGGACCGUGAGAGAAAGUCUCCUGGAGGUUGUAUUUUCAGGGCUGAUCGUCUUCAAGGAUGAGUAAAUUAACCAGCAGAAAUCAUCACGACCUCGUAAAUCAAUGAGGCUUCCAUAAAACGACAACGAAUAAAGUAAACAAAAGCAAAAGAAAAGAAAAGAAAUCUGAGAAAGUGGAAAAAGAAAAGAAAAAUGCCAUCUCCCGAAGCAAUGCUGUCCUGUGAAACCCCUCGAAUGCAAAGAAGGAGUGGUUCAUGUAAAGGACUGAGAAUGACGCCAAGAAGCCACAGGCUGAGAGAAAACUCUGGCUAUUUAGACUGGUGUUGUGUGUGGUCUGAUUCUUUGUCCUAUGAUAUUUGAUGGUGGUCAGAUGAAGAAAACCAAACGUCGCUCAAAAAGGGACUUUGCGGGGUCCUUACCUUCUGGGCGCAUCUAGGACAUUUUUUUUUUUUCUUUGCACCCCUUAUCCAUCAGUGGUGAAAGACAUCCAGCCUGGCAGAGGAAUCACUGGGUGGAAUCUCCCAGUGAGCUGCCUGCUCCGAUCAGUGGGAUACUAGAGAGGGAAAGAGACGGAAUUGUUGCCAGAAGGAGGAUGAUUGGAGCUGAGAUCAUGCUGUUUUCUUCUCUUCAAGACGUCUCUUAAAGUCUUCUGUUUGGCUUCUUAGCAACCGAGAAACCGUCUCUCCCCAUAGCUGGGCAAUUUAUUCUUCAGGUUGCACAAGAAACGAGGGACUUCAGUCUCCUCCAGUUUUCAAAUCCAUCAAAAAUUAUUGUACCAGAAAGAACAGAAAACUAUGCCAAGUUUACUUUUAACCUGAGAACUCCAGCACCAGGAGAAACUAUUUACACAGAUGCUUAAAUUUUUCUUAACUCCCUUUCUACAGCUCUGCAGACCCCAAGAUUCUUUCAGCACCAUAGUUUCAUCCCUGGUAAGAGAUGGAGAAGCAGCCUUUGGCUGUGCUGAGCAAGCUCUGUGCAGGUUUGUGGGUUAUAGCACCUGCCCUCCAUCGCUCCCACUCUGAGUGCAGCCCCCAAAUAGACAGAACGAACUUUGGGUGCACAUUGUUUUAAACUACGGAGGCUACCAGCCUCACUGGGUUACUUCCAUCAAAGGAUAAGAGAGAAGAAAAUAUGAUGGGCUAAGAUCCGCAGGUCUAACAAAAACAAAGUGGCUGCUUGACCCACUUUCCGAGUUAGAUACCAAUUUGAAUAUUGUUAUCCAUGGUGACAAAUUCCAGUAAAAAGCUUUAAGAGGUUAAAUACUGUAAUUCUAUGAGAGCUACGUGAAGACUUUCUCAAAUCUGGACAUCCAAAAUAGGCUUUGACAAAUAACCUCAUCAAGUCAUUAUACCCAGCACAGGAUUUCUGUAGUUGUUCAAUGCAGAAAAGGAUUGUAUUCUUAUAAUUGUUUUUUCUGACUUCAGCUUUUCAAAUAAAGUCUCCUGGAAUGGCU
rnacentral:lncRNA from 1 species